AUUGAACGCUGGCGGCAGGCCUAACACAUGCAAGUCGAGCGAGCGGCGGACGGGUGAGUAAUGUAUGGGGACUGCCCGAUCGCGGGGGAUAACUACUGGAAACGGUGGCUAAUACCGCAUACUAUCGGAUAACCCAUAUGGGAUUAGCUAGUAGGUGGGGUAAAGGCUCACCUAGGCGACGAUCUCUAGCUGGUAUGAGAGGAUGAUCAGCCACACUGGGACGGAGACGCGGCCCAGAAGCAUACGGAGGCAGCAGGGGGGAAUAUUGCACAAUGGGCGCAAGCCUGAUGCAGCCGUGCCAAGUGUAUGAAGAAGGCCUUAGGGUUGUAAAGUACUUUCAGCGGUGAGGCGUUACCCGCAGAAGAAGCACCGGCUAACUCCGUGCCAGCAGCCGCGGUAAUUC
rnacentral:rRNA from 1 species